CUCGUAAAGCUCUGUUGUUAAAGAAGAACACGUAUGAGAGUAACUGUUCAUACGUUGACGGUAUUUAACCAGAAAGUCACGGCUAACUACGUGCCAGCAGCCGCGGUAAUACGUAGGUGGCAAGCGUUAUCCGGAUUUAUUGGGCGUAAAGAGAGUGCAGGCGGUUUUCUAAGUCUGAUGUGAAAGCCUUCGGCUUAACCGGAGAAGUGCAUCGGAAACUGGAUAACUUGAGUGCAGAAGAGGGUAGUGGAACUCCAUGUGUAGCGGUGGAAUGCGUAGAUAUAUGGAAGGAACACCAGUGGCGAAGGCGGCUACCUGGUCUGCAACUGACGCUGAGACUCGAAAGCAUGGGUAGCGAACAGGAUUAGAUACCCUGGUAG
rnacentral:rRNA from 1 species